rnacentral:tRNA from 1 species
GUGGGUCUAGCUCAGUGGUAGAGUGAAUGCUUAGUGUGCAUGAGGUCCUGGGUUCAAUUCCCAGUACCUCUG